UGAACGCCCCUCCCGUAGGUCAUCGUGCAGCGCUGCCUGGCCGGGAAGAGCCUGACCCACAUCAAGGCGGGCUGCAUCCUGUGUGGGUACCUGAAGCUGACGCCCAUGUUUCUCAUGGUCAUGCCAGGCAUGAUCAGCCGCAUUCUGUACCCAGACGAGGUGGCGUGCGUGGUGCCUGAGGUGUGCAGGCGCGUGUGCGGCACGGAGGUGGGCUGCUCCAACAUCGCCUACCCGCGGCUCGUCGUGAAGCUCAUGCCCAACGGUAAGGGCAGCCCCGGGCCACAGGCGCAAGCUCGCUGUGGAGCCCGCUGCUGGGAGGGGUCGUCCCUCGCGCAGCUGCAGCCGCCCUGGACCCCCAGUGGCCCCAGCCUCACGGCUGCCGUCGGCCCGCAGGUCUGCGCGGACUCAUGCUGGCGGUCAUGCUGGCCGCGCUCAUGUCCUCGCUGGCCUCCAUCUUCAACAGCAGCAGCACGCUCUUCACCAUGGACAUCUACACGCGCCUGCGGCCACGCGCCGGCGACCGCGAGCUGCUGCUGGUGGGACGGUGCGGCCUGGGCUCCCCUCCUCCCCAACGGAUCAGCCCGGGGCGGGGGCUUGCGCACCUGCAGGGGAGCCCAGGGUCCGGGUUCGAUCCGACGGCCUCCGCCGCAGGCUCUGGGUGGUGUUCAUCGUGGUAGUGUCGGUGGCCUGGCUUCCCGUGGUGCAGGCGGCACAGGGCGGGCAGCUCUUCGAUUACAUCCAGGCAGUCUCUAGCUACCUGGCACCGCCCGUGUCCGCCGUCUUCGUGCUGGCGCUCUUCGUGCCGCGCGUUAAUGAGCAGGUGAGCGGCACGCGCGUGGUGACGGCAGGGCUGGGCUUGCACAUCCUCAGCAGGCUGACCUGUUUCCUUCGCAGGGCGCCUUCUGGGGACUCAUCGGGGGCCUGCUGAUGGGCCUGGCACGCCUGAUUCCCGAGUUCUCCUUCGGCUCGGGCAGCUGUGUGCAGCCCUCGGCGUGCCCAGCUUUCCUCUGCGGCGUGCACUACCUCUACUUCGCCAUUGUGCUGUUCUUCUGCUCUGGCCUCCUCACCCUCACGGUCUCCCUGUGCACCGCGCCCAUCCCCCGAAAGCACGUGAGUGGCCAGGUGCCCCAGGCAAGCACUGUGGGACACAGCACCUACCCUCUGCUUCCUGGAGUGCCCAGCUGGGAGGACCUGAAUUUCUCGACUGAGAGUUGGGAAUGGGCUGGGGGUCCAGCUGCAGUUGCAAUUGCAGAGCAAGAAUUUUUAUUUAAAUACAUUUAUUUGAACCGGCCUGGGGGAGGCUUGAUGUUGAUGGGUUGGUGAUUAAAGCCUCCCAAAGCCAAUCCUUGGCAUGGCCUUUGGGACUCAAAACACAGGAUCUGACUGGUGGGCACAAUACCAUCUUGAACGCCCACAAAAAGGUUUGGUUUUGUUGCCAAAGGGCAGGUGGCUCCAGGCAGGGCUGAUGGUGGCAGGGUGGGGUGAGGACAGGACAAGAGAUCUGGGUGUGGAAGGAUGGCCGGGUUUCUGCAGCAGCAGGAGGAAAGGGUGGGAGCACACAGGCACAGAACACUGUGAGCAGGACUGCCAGGCCAGUGUCACAAGCGCUACCAUCUGGGUGUAGACAGACCUGAGCUGAUAAAGCUGGGGGAGCAAGGCCAACGGCUUUAAACACAAGCUCAGGGGCUUGGGGUUUAUCCCGAGGGCACAGGGCAGCCAUGUAGGGUGGAGUUGGCAUGAGUUGAGCCUGGGCUGGGUGUGUAGACUGGACAGAGGUGGGUAGGGCAGGCAGUGACGAGCUGGUGUGCAAGAGACUUUAGGGCCAGGCAUGGGGGGACAGAACUCCCACCUCGUUCGUGCUCCCACCCUCCCCAGCUCCACCGCCUGGUCUUCAGUCUCCGGCACAGCAAGGAGGAACGGGAGGACCUGGAUGCUGAUGAGCAGCAAGGCUCCUCAUUCCCUGUACAGAAUGGGUGCCCAGAGAGUGCCAUGGAGACGAAUGGUAGGGCACCAUGCUGGGAGGUGGGGCUGGAGAAGCUGAGUUCCCGCAAACUAACUGCAGGGCCUCAAUUUCCCUCAGAGCCCCAGGCCCUGGCACCAAGCCUCUUCCGCCAGUGCCUGCUCUGGUUUUGUGGAAUGAGCAGAGGUGGGGUGGGCAGUCCUCCGCCCCUUACCCAGGAGGAGGCAGCGGCAGCAGCCAGGCGGCUGGAGGACAUCAGCGAGGACCCGAGCUGGGCCCGUGUGGUCAACCUCAAUGCCCUGCUCAUGAUGGCAGUGGCCGUGUUCCUCUGGGGCUUCUAUGCCUAAGACCAACUGCGUUGGACACCAUAAGCCACAGCCUCACAGGAAGUGGGGGUGAGGAGCCUGCGGUGCUCCCCAGAAAAGGGGAAGGGGCAGUGGGGUGAGAAGGUCCUGGCUCCCCUUCUCCCGGCCUUCCUCUGCCUGGGGCCCACUGCAUCUGAUUGGCAGUCACUUCCCAUGAGGGCCUGGCCCACCCACUGCAGUUGCCCUAAGGAAAAAUAAAGCUGCCUUUCCCCUGUC
rnacentral:sRNA from 1 species